GACGAACGCUGGCGGCGUGCUUAACACAUGCAAGUCGAACGGAAAGGCCCCUCUCGGGUGGUACUCGAGUGGCGAACGGGUGAGUAACACGUGAGUAACCUCCCCUUGUCUUUGGGAUAACUUCAGGCAACGGGGGCUAAUACCGGAUAGGAGCUCGCGCUGCCCGGUGGGGGUUGGAAAGUUUCUGCGGUCUGGGAUGGAUUCGCGGCUUAUCAGCUUGUUGGUGUGGUAGUGGCUUAUCAAGGAUUUGACGGGUAGCCGGCCUGAGGGGGUGAUAGGCCACAUUGGGAACGGGAGUCGCCCCCCACCCCUCCCGGCGCCCGCACUGGCGAAACUUCCACCCUGGCUCGGAGCCUGGAGCAGCCACGCGGUGUGCGUGCUGGUGGGCUCUGGGUUGGGAGACGCGUUAGCCAAUGGCUACGCUGUGUGUGACGGUCGUGGGUAAAGAAGCACCGGCCAACUACGUG
rnacentral:rRNA from 1 species